rnacentral:rRNA from 1 species
UACAGGGGGGGCAAGCGUUGUUCGGAAUUACUGGGCGUAAAGGGCUCGUAGGUGGCCAACUAAGUCAGACGUGAAAUCCCUCAGCUUAACUGGGGAACUGUGUCUGAUACUGGAUGGCUUGAGUUUGGGAGAGGGAUGCGGAAUUCCAGGUGUAGCGGUGAAAUGCGUAGAUAUCUGGAGGAACACCGGUGGCGAAGGCGGCAUCCUGGACCAACACUGACACUGAGGAGCGAAAGACAGGGGAGCAAACGGG